CACGUGCGGCCGAGAAGCGCCGGGCACAGCCUGGAGGCGCGCAGGAAGCAGCCGAGGCGCAUGCGCAUCCGCAUCCGGAGGCGGCGGGACGAAGCGGCUCCCGCUCAGCAGUUUAUUCGAGCAAAACAUCAAUUCAAAUCAGGCAGCAUCCAAUGUAGCCGCGAGAAAGGAGCUCUGGGGAACGGCUCAAAAUGAAAGACUGAUUGGCAGAAGGGAGCAGAAACAAGGAACAUAAACGAGGUUUCUGAUCCGUGCUGAAUGAAUUUGUGUCCACGGGGAGAGGACAAGAUGUACAGUUUUGUGUUUCUCAGUUUCACAGGUCGAUCAAUGGAAAGGAAUUGGGCUUCAAAUUGUUGUACCUAAUGGAUUACACCCAAGAAAUUUAUCCAUACUAGAAGACAAAACGUUGAACCUUGGAGUUCUGUGUUAAUGAGACUUAGAUUUAGAUGAAAAGACUGUGGACUCUGAGCUGAUGCCAUAAAGGGAUGAAACUCUUGGGAAUCUUAAAAGGGCAUAAUGUAUUUUGCAUUUGUAAAGGAUGUGGAUAGUUGAGUACCAGAGGGUGGCCUCUGGUAGGCAGGACUGUACAAGACCCCUGGAAUCCUACCUUCUGUGUAUAUGCCCUGUAUGAUACCACCCCUUAAUGUGAACAGGACUUCUGACUAUAAAGCUGUAUCAGUUCUGUGAAUAUGUUAUGUUAAAAGGUAAAGGAACUUUGCAGUCCCUAAUUAGUCGACUUUAAUUAUAAGGGAAAUUAUCUUGAUGAGUCUGACCUAAAUAGGUGAAUUUUUUAACAAGAAGUAACAGAUUUUUUUUUUUUCUGUUGGCCUUCAGGUUAGAGUUAAUUAAAAUUAAAAUGCUCUCUCCUGCAAAAUACAUUCUUGAGUGAAUGAAAGACAAGGCACAGACUGAAAGAAAAUAUUUGCAAAAUUACAUCAGUUAAAUGACUUUUACCAUAAUGAUAUUAACUCAUAAAAGUUAACAAAAUAAAAACAAAUAACAGUUAAGAAAUGGGCAAAAGAACAUAACAAAGAUUUAUAGAUGGCAAAUAAGCAUAUUGUAAGCCCUCAACACCAUUUGUCAUUGUGAAAUGCAAAUUAAAGCAAAAAAGAUAUACCUAUAUAAAUGUAAAAAGAGACAAUACCGAUUUUGGAGAGAAUGUAUAGCAAUAAUGAUUUAUUCAUUUCUAGUGGAAAUGCAAAAUAUUACAGCUACUUUAAAAGACAAUUUUGUAGUUUCCUACAAAACUAGGCAUAGUCUUACUAUAUAAUACAGUAUUCAUAUUACCCAACUGAUUUCAAAAUUUAUCUCCAUGUAAAAAAAUUGUGCACAAAUGUUUGUGGCAGUAUUAUUCAUAACCAAUAUAAACUUGAAGGAAAUAGGAAGGCUUUAUUAGGUGAAUGAAUGAAUAAACUUCAUACAACAGAAAUUCAUACAGGGGAGUACUAAUAAGCAAUAUAAAGAAAUGAGCUAUCAAGCCAUAAAAAGACUUGGAUGAAUUUUAAAUGCAUAUUGCUAAAUAAAUAAGCCAGUCUGAAAAGGCGACACACUAUAUGAUUUUAAUUGCAUGGUAUUCUAGAAAAGGCAAAACUUGGAGACAGUAAAAAGAUCAGUGGUCACUGGGAGUUUUGAGGAUGGGAGGGUAGAAAGAACAGAACAUCACAGGUGUUGUUAUAUUUAGUCUACUUGGGCUGCUAUAACAAAUUGCCAUAGAAUGGAUUAUUUAAACAACAAUGUUUUCUUGCUUACAGUUCUGGAGGGUGGAAAUCUGAGAUCAGGAUACUGGUAUGAUUGGGUUUUGGUGAGGACCCUCUUAACUGCUUAUAAUCUCACAUGGCAUUCUUUAGUGUGUGCAAGGGAGAGAGAAAGGGGUGAGAGAAGAAAGUUUUGUUUUUUCUCCUGUUUGUAUAAGGGCAUUAAUACCAUCAUGAGGUCCCCACAGUCAUGACCUUAUUUAACCCUCCCAAAGGCCUAAUCUUAAAAUUCCAUCAUGUUGGGGGUUGGGAUUUCAAGAUAGGAAUUUUGAGGGGACACAGUCCAUAAUAAUACUGUACUGGUGGAUACAUGGCAUUAUACAUCUCUCAGGACCCAGAACUGUAUAAAUAAACUGUAAUAUAAACUACGGUUUUUAAUAAACUACACUUUAAUAAAGUAUCAGUAUUGGUUUUUUAAUUGUAACAAAUAUACCACACCAAUGCAACACAUUAAUAGUAAUAAUAAUAAGGGACAUUAUCUAUGUUGGGAGAUUUGGUAGGGGACAGAGGGAGCAGAGGAACUCUGUAUUUUCCACUCACUUUUUCUUCAAACCUAAAAUUGAUUUUUUAAAAUAGCCUAAAAAAAAAAUCAGUAGAUUUAUUUGAAAUUGUUUCUCAUAAUCCAACAAAGAGCUAAGGGCAAAAGCCCAUUUUAAUAUUUUUUUUUAUAUUUGGGUAAGAAUAACACAUACUUACACUCUAAAAACAGAAAUAUUCUAUUUAUUACAGGAUUCAAGCAUUAUUUUACUUUUAAAAUAUUCAACAGAGAUGGGAUUUAAGAUGGCAGAGUAGAAGGACUGGAGCUCACCUUCUCUCACAAAAGCAACAAAAUUACAACCAACUGCUGAACAGCCUUCAACAAAACAGACUGGGAACUAUCAAAAAAUUAUCCUACUCCAGUAGACAAAGAGUAGCCCACAUAAAGAUGGUACAAGGUGCAAUUACAUGAUGUAAGCAACCCCAUACCUGCCUGGAGGGUGGCCCAAAGACUGGAAAGUAACGAUAUAGUAGAGGUUUACCCACAGGAGUGGGAGUUCUGAGCCCUCCAUCAGGUUCCAUGCCUGGGGAUCUGACAUCAGGAGGAGGACCCCUGGGGAAUUUGGCAUUGAGGGCCAGAGGCUGCUUGUGCUCAGGACCUCCACAGAACUGGAACAAAUGGAGACUACACUCUUGAA